rnacentral:tRNA from 1 species
GUGGUCGAAGCCUAAGCGGUCGUGGCACUCGCCUGUGAAGCGAGGAAAGUGGGUUCGAGCCCCACCGAUCACACCA